ensembl:processed_transcript Gm14023 predicted gene 14023
ACUUCCGCAGCGGUGCCUCUGAGGUGGGAGCUGGUCACAGGAAAGCAGCUUCUAACCUGCUGUAUUGUCUCUAAAACCACUACUUGGUUUUGGUGGUACAUUAUAUGGGUCUCAUGAUGGAGCCCUGGCAGGCUUGGGAUUCACUUGACCGACAAGAAUAGACUUGGAAUCACAAAGAUUCUCUUGCAUCUACUUCCCACCGGGAAGCAAGUUCCCAAGUGACAAGGAAGACUACCAGUAUUCCCAGUCUCUAAUUCAGAUGAGUAUAUGCUAAGUAUGGGGAACUGAAGCCCAGAGAGAUUAAGGAACAUGACUAAGGCGGUGGCAGCUAGCAGAGGUCAUGAGCCAAUGAACCACGGCUGCUUUCUCUCCAACAGAAGACCUUUACAUGACCUUUGCAGUAUGGCCAAGAAAGGAGUCCUUGAAUCAUGGGUUAUGGACUGCAGGUCAUCUUCAGUGAAGGUCUCACUGAAACUCAGCCGUCUCUUCUUCAGAAUCUUCCCGUUGCUUGACGUUGCUGAUACUGUCACCCGGCUCUCCUUGAAGGUGAAGUUGGACAUCUUUGACGUUUCAGAGGUUCUCAGAGAUACAAACUGAUCUGUGCAAGUCUCAUGAAGUGAGCCAUAGCUUGCAUCAUAGAAGGAUUUCUGUAAGGAGGAAAAGUGGAACCUGAGAAGUUAUCUAUGCCCUUGAGAUGAGAUUCUUCAGUAGGAUCUGUAUCCUGCAGGCUUAGUGAGAGUGGUCCCCAUUGUGCUUCCUCCCUCNNNNNNNNNNNNNNNNNNNNNNNNNNNNNNNNNNNNNNNNNNNNNNNNNNNUUUUGAGAGGAAGGUAUUUUUACCCAUCUUUAGGGUCAAAAAUAAAGCAUUUUAAUGAAAUAGAUUAAUAAGCAAUCUUGGUAAGUUAGAUCCUUCUAUUAAGAGGACUAACAUCUACUUGAGAGUGCUCAAAAUAUUUUAGAAAAUACAUUCGGCCCUCUGUUUUGCCUGCCUGUAUCCUCAGAUUCAACCAAUAUUAAGAUUCAAAAUAUUUUCUAGAAAUAAAUGACAUCUAUACUGAACAUGUGCAUUUUUAUUUUCUAAAUAAUCUAAUCAUUACUUCAUAUGCAUAAGAAUUAUUUCCAUAGCAUCUGUGUUGUGGCAGGUAUUGUUAGGUCACCUAGAUAUGAUUUAAAGUCAUUUGAGAAUGUAUAUAUGCUUGGGACUUAAACAUCUGAUUCUAAGCUCCCAUGGAUGCCUUUAGUAUGGCUGUUCUUCUGGAAGUAGCUUUUAAAGCUAGUAUUGCAGAUACACAAAAUGACAUAACUUGGUGAGUGUGUGCAACAUAUUUACUUUCUCUUGGCUAGGCUCCUCAACCUCAGCUCUGUGGGCUAUCUGGUUAUCUCUAGCCUCUAGUCUCUUAGAACACAGACCCCAGGUGAGGUGGGCUGAAGCAAUUGGCUAGGGAGGACAAAAUUAACAUUUUGAAGAAACCUAGCCCUGUUCUUAGGGCUUCAGAUAGUUCUCUGUUAUGAAAGAGCCAAUGAACAUGAAGAAUGCCAUUUAACUACUAGUAUGAAGAACCAAGUGAUCUCAUUUAUAAAGAGUAAAUGUAUUUAUAUCUCUAGUGAGGGUGAGACAUAAGUAUGUACUACUCAGUUCUCAUUGUGCUUUUCUGGUAGGUGAACUAGUGUGG